GACGUAGGGUGCGAGCGUUGUCCGGAUUUAUUGGGCGUAAAGAGCUCGUAGGCGGCUUGUUACGUCGGCUGUGAAAACCCGCGGCUCAACCGCGGGCCUGCAGCCGAUACGGGCAGGCUAGAGUUCGGUAGGGGAGACUGGAAUUCCUGGUGUAGCGGUGAAAUGCGCAGAUAUCAGGAAGAACACCAAUGGCGAAGGCAGCUCUCUGGGACGGUACUGACGCUGAGACGCGAAAGCGUGGGGAGCGAACAGG
rnacentral:rRNA from 1 species